rnacentral:rRNA from 1 species
CCAGACUCCUACGGGAGGCAGCAGUGAGGAAUAUUGGUCAAUGGCCGAGAGGCUGAACCAGCCAAGUCGCGUGAGGGAGGACGGCCCUACGGGUUGUAAACCUCUUUUGUCAGGGAGCAAGGGACAGGUCGUGACCUGUUGUGAGAGUACCUGAAGAAAAAGCAUCGGCUAACUCCGUGCCAGCAGCCGCGGUAAUACGUAGGGGGCAAGCGUUAUCCGGAUUUACUGGGUGUAAAGGGAGCGUAGACGGCGAUACAAGUCUGAAGUGAAAGCCCGGGGCUCAACCCCGGGACUGCUUUGGAAACUGUGUUGCUGGAGUGCUGGAGAGGCAAGCGGAAUUCCUAGUGUAGCGGUGAAAUGCGUAGAUAUUAGGAAGAACACCAGUGGCGAAGGCGGCUUGCUGGACAGUAACUGACGUUGAGGCUCGAAAGCGUGGGGAGCAAACAGGAUUAGAUACCCGUGUA